GGGGGGGGGGGGCGGGGGGCUGAGCGGGGGCGGGUCGGGCGGGGAGGCCCCGGUGGGGGUACGCGAGGGGCGAACGGGGGCGUAACACGCGAGUAACCUGCCCUUGACGUCGGGAUAACUUCAGGCAACUGGGGCCAAUACCGGGCAGGAAUCCUUGCUGCAUGGGGGGGGUUGGAAAGCGUCGGGGGUGUUGGAUGGACUCCCGGCCUCUCCGCUUUGUGGGGGGGUAGUGGCCUACCAAGGCGUUGACGGGUAGCCGGCCGGAGCGGGGGCCCGGCCCGAUUGGGCCUGGGAUGCGGCCCAGACGCCUACGGGAGGCAGGAGGGGGGAAGAUUGCACAAUGGGCGGGAGCCGGAUGCAGCAACGCCGCGUGCGGGAUGACGGCCUUCGGGUUGUAAACCGCUUUCAGCAGGGGCGAAGCUUGUGGUGACGGUACCUGCAGAAGAAGCACCGGCUAACUACGUG
rnacentral:rRNA from 1 species